AAAUUGAAGAGUUUGAUCAUGGCUCAGAUUGAACGCUGGCGGCAGGCCUAACACAUGCAAGUCGAACGGUAACAGGAAGCAGCUUGCUGCUUUGCUGACGAGUGGCGGACGGGUGAGUAAUGUCUGGGAAACUGCCUGAUGGAGGGGGAUAACUACUGGAAACGGUGGCUAAUACCGCAUAACGUCGCAAGACCAAAGAGGGGGGACCUUCGGGCCUCUUGCCAUCAGAUGUGCCCAGAUGGGAUUAGCUUGUUGGUGAGGUAACGGCUCACCAAGGCGACGAUCCCUAGCUGGUCUGAGAGGAUGACCAGCCACACUGGAACUGAGACACGGUCCAGACUCCUACGGGAGGCAGCAGUGGGGAAUAUUGCACAAUGGGCGCAAGCCUGAUGCAGCCAUGCCGCGUGUAUGAAGAAGGCCUUCGGGUUGUAAAGUACUUUCAGCGGGGAGGAAGGUGUUGUGGUUAAUAACCGUAGCAAUUGACGUUACCCGCAGAAGAAGCACCGGCUAACUCCGUGCCAGCAGCCGCGGUAAUACGGAGGGUGCAAGCGUUAAUCGGAAUUACUGGGCGUAAAGCGCACGCAGGCGGUCUGUCAAGUCGGAUGUGAAAUCCCCGGGCUCAACCUGGGAACUGCAUUCGAAACUGGCAGGCUUGAGUCUUGUAGAGGGGGGGUAGAAUUCCAGGUGUAGCGGUGAAAUGCGUAGAGAUCUGGAGGAAUACCGGUGGCGAAGGCGGCCCCCUGGACAAAGACUGACGCUCAGGUGCGAAAGCGUGGGGAGCAAACAGGAUUAGAUACCCUGGUAGUCCACGCCGUAAACGAUGUCUACUUGGAGGUUGUGCCCUUGAGGCGUGGCUUCCGGAGCUAACGCGUUAAGUAGACCGCCUGGGGAGUACGGCCGCAAGGUUAAAACUCAAAUGAAUUGACGGGGGGCCCGCACAAGCGGUGGAGCAUGUGGUUUAAUUCGAUGCAACGCGAAGAACCUUACCUGGUCUUGACAUCCACGGAAGGUCUCAGAGAUGAGACUGUGCCUUCGGGAACCGUGAGACAGGUGCUGCAUGGCUGUCGUCAGCUCGUGUUGUGAAAUGUUGGGUUAAGUCCCGCAACGAGCGCAACCCUUAUCCUUUGUUGCCAGCGGUCCGGCCGGGAACUCAAAGGGAGACUGCCAGUGAUAAACUGGAGGAAGGUGGGGAUGACGUCAAGUCAUCAUGGCCCCUUACGACCAGGGGCUACACACGUGCUACAAUGGCGCAUACAAAGAGAAGCGACCUCGCGAGAGCAAGCGGACCUCAUAAAGUGCGUCGUAGUCCGGAUUGGAGUCUGCAACUCGACUCCAUGAAGUCGGAAUCGCUAGUAAUCGUGGAUCAGAAUGCCACGGUGAAUACGUUCCCGGGCCUUGUACACACCGCCCGUCACACCAUGGGAGUGGGUUGCAAAAGAAGUAGGUAGCUUAACCUUCGGGAGGGCGCUUACCACUUUGUGAUUCAUGACUGGGGUGAAGUCGUAACAAGGUAACCGUAGGGGAACCUGCGGUUGGAUCACCUCCUUA
rnacentral:rRNA from 1 species